rnacentral:rRNA from 1 species
UGAGCAAUCUGCCCUUCUCUUUGGAAUAAGCGUUGGAAACGACGUCUAAUGCCGAAUACGACCUCCUUUCGCAUGAUCGGAGGUGGAAAGCUCCGGCGGAGAAGGAUGAGCUCGCGGCCUAUCAGCUAGUUGGUGUGGGUAAUGGCCCACCAAGGCGACGACGGGUAGCCGGCCUGAGAGGGUGACCGGCCACACUGGGACUGAGACACGGCCCAGACCUCCGUACGGGAGNAG